UACAGAGGUCCCAAGCGUUGUUCGGAUUCAUUGGGCGUAAAGGGUGCGUAGGUGGCGCCGUAAGUGGGGUGUGAAAUUUCGGAGCUUAACUCCGAAACUGCAUUCCAUACUGCGGUGCUUGAGGACUGGAGAGGAGACUGGAAUUUACGGUGUAGCAGUGAAAUGCGUAGAGAUCGUAAGGAAGACCAGUGGCGAAGGCGGGUCUCUGGACCGAGACUGACGCUGAGGCGCGAAAGCGUGGGGAGCAAACAGG
rnacentral:rRNA from 1 species